GAACUGCGAUAAGUAAUGUGAAUUGCAGAAUUCAGUGAAUCAUCGAGUCUUUGAACGCACAUUGCGCCCCCUGGCAUUCCGGGGGGCAUGCCUGUCCGAGCGUCAUUGCUGCCCUUCAAGCCCGGCUUGUGUGUUGGGUCGUCGUCCCCUCCGGGGGACGGGCCCGAAAGGCAGCGGCGGCACCGCGUCCGGUCCUCGAGCGUAUGGGGCUUUGUCACCCGCUCGAUAAGGACCGGCCGGGCGCCCGCCGGCGUCUCCAACCUUUUUUUCUCAGGUUGACCUCGGAUCAGGUAGGGAUACCCGCUGAACUUAAGC
rnacentral:misc_RNA from 1 species